rnacentral:lncRNA from 1 species
UCUACAGUGGAUGGAUUCUAGAUGAACUUCUACAACGGAUGGGCUCCAGCAGUCGCAUUUCUACAAUGACAGACUGUCUCCGAUGUCUUCCAUACUUCUCCAGCCAUCAACCUUCAACAGCACCAACCGGACUUCAACAGUGCCAACCAGACCCCUCCAACGAAUAAAUUCCCUCCGAACACCUCCAGUGGUCGACCUUCCACAGUGUCCUCCAGAUUCCUCCAACAGACGAACUCCUACCAUGCCCUCUAGACUUUUUCAAAAAUGAGCUCC